CGAACCUACGGGGGGCAGCAGUGAGGAAUAUUGGUCAAUGGGCGGGAGCCUGAACCAGCCAAGUCGCGUGAGGGAAGACGGUCCUACGGAUUGUAAACCUCUUUUGCCGGGGAGCAACGGGGUCCUUGCGAGGGCCCGAUGAGAGUACCCGGAGAAAAAGCAUCGGCUAACUCCGUGCCAGCAGCCGCGGUAAUACGGAGGAUGCGAGCGUUAUCCGGAUUUACUGGGUGUAAAGGGAGCGUAGACGGCAGCGCAAGUCUGGAGUGAAAUGCCGGGGCCCAACCCCGGAACUGCUUUGGAAACUG
rnacentral:rRNA from 1 species